GAGUACGCUACUCUUUACAUUCACUCAAUUUUAGUUUCUUUUUUUCCACUUCUAAAUUUAAGUGUAUUAUUAUAGUUGUUGUUAAGCAUAUUUGAAGAUGGCGGAAAACGGAAAAUCUGCGACGGAGAAAUUACCGGCGACUGCGUAUCCGUUAACCGAAAAUCCGACGCAGAUCGCAUCGGAUAUCAAUUACCACGUGAAGUUCAAUCCUCAUUUCUCGCCGUUCAAGUUUGAGCCAGAACAAGCUUUCUUUGCUAUAGCCGAGAGCGUUCGCAAUAUUCUCACCAAACAAUGGGAAGACACUUUCUGGCACUUCGGCAGAGCUAAUCAGAAACACACUUCUCAAUGGAAUUUCUUCAAGGACGGGCUUUGACUAAUGCGAUUGGGAAUCUAGGCAUUGAAAAUGCUUACGCCGAGGCUUUGAAUAAGUUGGGACAUGAACUCGAGGAGGUUGUUGAGCAGGAAAAAGGUGCUGCACUUGAAAUGGUGGCUUGGGAAGGCUUGCUUCUUGUUUUCUCGAUUCCAUGGCAACCUUGAAUCUGCCUGCUGGGGGAUACGUUU